CAACAGGGUCUUGGAGGUGCACGGGAGAGGGGCUGGUGGCUCAUAUUGCUGUGUGAUCAGGAUUUCCUCUCGUGUUUCAGUGCGUGUCUCUUUGAUGGCAUCUUCAAGGACCCCUUUCCAUGCAGCUGACCCACAGGGUGAAGAGGCCUCGGUUUGCAGUCUGCAGAGCUACAUGGCUGGCGGGAGACCCCUGAAAAGAAACCGGAGGAGCUAGCUGACAAAAGAUUGGAAUCCUGGUAUCUCUUUUGUUUUCACCCAAGUCUGUGGCCACUGACAUUCCUCUUUUCCACCACGGGUGGAUAAUAAGCCCCCUUCUCAGGAAUCGAAAUGCUCUUAUACAUUUUAAUGUGACCUUAGACAGCGCUGUUCAGAAAUCACAGGCCCAUCUGACUACACUUGAGGUUGAAUUGAGCUAAUGGUAUUCACCUCAUCUUUAGAUGCAAAAUUGGAAGAUAAAAAGACCUUGAUGUGAAAAGAAGG
rnacentral:lncRNA from 1 species